UUGGGUUUGGCCAAGAAGAUCAUUUGGGUUUUUCCAUAAGGUCUCAUGGAAAAACCUGAAUGAACUUUUUGGCCAAUACAAU
rnacentral:miRNA from 1 species